AUUGAACGCUGGCGGCAGGCCUAACACAUGCAAGUCGAGCGAGCGGCGGACGGGUGAGUAAUGUCUGGGAAACUGCCUGAUGGAGGGGGAUAACUACUGGAAACGGUAGCUAAUACCGCAUACCAUCAGAUGUGCCAAGUUGGGAUUAGCUAGUGGGGGGGGUAACGGCUCACCUAGGCGACGAUCCCUAGCUGGUCUGAUAGGAUGACCAGCCACACUGGAACUGAGACACGGUCCAGACUCCUACGGGAGGCAGCAGUGGGGAAUAUUGCACAAUGGACGAAAGCCUGAUGCAGCCAUGCCGCGUGAGUGAAGAAGGCCUUCGGGUUGUAAAGCACUGUCAGUGGGGAGGCGGUACCCGAAGAAGAAGCACCGGCUAACUCCGUGCCAGCAGCCGCGGUAAUUC
rnacentral:rRNA from 1 species